AUUGAACGCUGGCGGCAUGCUUUACACAUGCAAGUCGAACGGUAACAGGCCGCAAGGUGCUGACGAGUGGCGAACGGGUGAGUAAUGCAUCGGAACGUGCCCAGUCGUGGGGGAUAACUACUCGAAAGAGUAGCUAAUACCGCAUACGAUCUAUGGAUGAAAGCGGGGGACCGUAAGGCCUCGCGCGAUUGGAGCGGCCGAUGUCAGAUUAGGUAGUUGGUGGGGUAAAGGCUCACCAAGCCAACGAUCUGUAGCUGGUCUGAGAGGACGACCAGCCACACUGGGACUGAGACACGGCCCAGACUCCUACGGGAGGCAGCAGUGGGGAAUUUUGGACAAUGGGCGCAAGCCUGAUCCAGCAAUGCCGCGUGGAGGAAGAAGGCCUUCGGGUUGUAAACUGCUUUUGUACGGAACGAAACGGCUCUGGUUAAUACCCGGGGCUAAUGACGGUACCGUAAGAAUAAGCACCGGCUAACUACGUG
rnacentral:rRNA from 1 species